rnacentral:rRNA from 1 species
CCUACGGGUGGCUGCAGUUGGGAAUCUUGCGCAAUGGGGGCAACCCUGACGCAGCGACGCCGCGUGCGGGAUGACAGUCUUCGGAUUGUAAACCGCUUUUCUUGGGGACGAUAAUGACGGUACCCGAGGAAGAAGCCCCGGCUAACUCCGUGCCAGCAGCCGCGGUAAGACGGAGGGGGCAAGCGUUGUCCGGAAUUACUGGGCGUAAAGCGCUCGUAGGCGGUCAUGUACGGCGGUGGUGAAAGCUCCCGGCUCACCUGGGGGAGGCCCGCCGCAACGGCAUGACUCGAGGAUGGUAGAGGCAGAUGGAAUUCCUGGUGUAGCGGUGAAAUGCGUAGAGAUCAGGAGGAACACCCAUGGCGAAGGCAGUCUGCUGGGCCACACCUGACGCUGAGGAGCGAAAGCUAGGGGAGCGAACGGGAUUAGAUACCCGGGUAGUC